UCUGCGGAUUUGGUUUUAUUCCAUCCCUAAACACGAUAUGUCCUAAAAAUUCGUUUCUUUUUUGAGGAACUCACUUUUAUCAAUCUAAAUUUUUAAAUUAAAUUCUAUCAGACGUUUGAAAACAUUUCUUAAGCGGUUGUUAUGAUCUUCUAAUGAAUUUCCAUAUUUAACGAUAUCUUCCAAACAUACUAAACACUGUUUGAGAGUGAGACCUGUCAAUACCGAAUUCAUUGCCCUUUGAAACGUUGAGGGAGCAUUGAUCAGGCCAAAAUGGCCUUCUUAGAAAUUCAUAAUGUCCCUCGCUAGUAGAAAAAAAAGUUUUUGAUAUCGAAUUUGGAUGUAUUCCAACCUGGUGAAAACCACUGGCAAGAUCUAGAGUAGAAAAAUAUUGCGCGUGUCGUAAAUUGUCAAAAAUUUCGUCUAUAUUUGGAAUGGGAAACUUAUAAGGAAUAGUAAAUUUGUUCAAACGAUAGUCAAUUACGAAGCGCCAUUUUUGUUUUUCCAGAGGCAUCUGUUUUCUCAGGCACUAUCCAAAUUGGACUUGAAUAAGGUGAAUGACUUGGUCUAAUGAUUUUUUGUUUUGAAAGUUUUUCAAUUUGGAAAUUUACUUCAUCUUUAUGACAUUGUGGAUAUCUGUAGGUUUUUGUUCGAGAAAUGCACCAUUAAAUUCCCGAAAAUAUUCACUGAUCGGCUUUUUUGAAAUUACGGAAAAGACGAUCCUCCUGACUGCGCCAACUAAUACGAUAAAAGUUACAACAAAAGAGUUUUUAAAAAGAACUUUAUCUUAAAAGUACAAGAUAAUAAUUAUCAGGCCUAGUCUGAAGCUAGAAUGAUUUAAGUUUUCAUAAAAGAAUAUAAUAUUGAUAAUAUGACUACUAAGCAGUUCCAAGUUAAAAGAUAACUAGUUAUAAGUAUGAGAAAAUAGUGUCCUUGAAAAGAGUUACCACUCCAUUUUAGGAAAAUAGCAAAUAAAUAUGCAUUCAUAUUAAUUUUUGACAAUUUCAGUGUGUCAUGCAGAAAUGAUUGCCAUCUGCAACAAGAAUUCGGCGGAUGUUAAGGACUCUACGAUGUAUGUUACCUUGUUUCCGUGCAAUGAAUGCGCCAAAUUGAUAGUUGAAAAUGGAAUAAAGGAAGUUGUGUACAGAUCAUAUAAAGACAAACCAUCAACAGAUGCUUCAAAACUGAUAUUUGAUGCAGCAGGAGUUAAAUAUAGAAAAAUUUAACUGAAACAGCCGAGAAUUGU